AGGGCUAUAGCUCAGUUGGUAGAGCACCUCGUUUACACACGAGAAGGUCUACGGUUCGAGUCCGUAUAGCCCUA
rnacentral:tRNA from 3 species